CUUGCAUGUGAUGUCACAGCAAUCUCAAUGAGGGACUUGUUAUCCCUAGUUUACAGGGACAGAAACUGAGGAUAAAAGAGGUUGAGUAAGUUGCCCAAGGUCACACAGUUAGGAAGUAGUAGAACCUAGAUUAGAGCCUAGACACCUGGGCUUCAGAGCUCUUCCCCACCACAGCGGGCUGUACCAGUAGUAUUUCCGGAGAAGCUUCUUGUACCUUAACCCAAGGUAAGUUGUAAGGCUGAAGAAGGAGAUUGCCAUAGCUACUAACUGGACCCCUUUUCGAGUAAUCAGAUCCUAGGUCUGCUCCAGUUUUGCAAGAGGAGAUGCUUGUCUGGAAACUCUCCUCAGCACCUGCCCCUGGAGGGAGCUGGCUGCAGCUGAAUUAUUUAGAGAGUCUGUAGACACUUGAUAUAACGAGCAGGUGUGGAUGCUUCUCUGACUUUCUCUGACAUGCCUUUACUUACCCCUUUUCCCUCCCCCUAGUUGCCUGUGAGGAAAAUGAGGCAUCAGUCGGUCUCCACAGCGUGUACGUGUCUAUCUCCUCCUGAAAAUUAUUGGAGAAAAAGAGGCUUGAUCUGCCCACAGCGAAAACAAGCAGUGGCUUUCACAGCAACUGAUUGGAAUGGAAAACCAGGAUCAGAUCCACCUCCAAAAAGCUUUCACGUGAAAAGGGAUGAAGUUUCUGUUAUCGGCUCCAAUUCAAGAAGGUCCAAAGGCUUCUUGAAAAUCCAGAAUUGGUUAUUUAAAUUAAUAAAAGAAGAAACGAGAACUAUAACAAGAGCCAAGUUUUGUCAUUGCUACCCUCGAGGGUCCAGUGGCGUCUUCAAAUCGCAGUAUCACCCUUAGUUUGAGAGCAGAGUGUGAAGAAUACUAUCAGUGCCUCAGGACAGGAUGCUGCAUCAUCCCCCAGCCUACCCACUUGGCCUCAGUUCUUUCUUCUGGUAUUCCUGGGCUACCUCCCAAGCCAACCUACUUACCACCCUACUUCCCUGGUUUUCAGUGCCCCACUUCCAACCUAGACACUCAAGCCUAGUAACCACAAUGACAUAUCACGUAAGCCUAGCAAACUAG
rnacentral:lncRNA from 1 species